rnacentral:rRNA from 1 species
CCUACGGGUGGCAGCAGUGGGGAAUAUUGCACAAUGGGGGAAACCCUGAUGCAGCGACGCCGCGUGAGUGAAGACGUAAUUCGUUAUGUAAAGCUCUAUCAGCAGGGAAGAAAAUGACGGUACCUGAGUAAGAAGCCCCGGCUAACUACGGGCCAGCAGCCGCGGUAAUACGUAGGGGGCAAGCGUUAUCCGGAUUUACUGGGUGGAAAGGGAGCGUAGACGGCAUUGAAAGUCUGGAGUGAAAGGCGGGGGCUCAACCCCCGGACUGCACUGGAAACUGUACGGCUGGAGUGCAGGAGAGGUAGGUGGAAUUCCUGGUGUAGCGGUGAAAUGCGUAGAUAUUAGGAGGAACACCAGUGGCGAAGGCGGCUUACUGGACUGUAACUGACGUUGAGGCUCGAAAGCGUGGGGAGCAAACAGGAGUAGAUACCCGGGUAGUC